CCUGAUAAGAGAACUGUCUUGCUUCCCUUUUCCUGCAGCCUUCCAGUACAGAGGAAUAGGUGUGUGUGGGUGUGUAUCUGACAUCUCUAAGUAGAAAAUUACGCAUUUUGCAAAGAUCUUGGAGCCAAGGAUCUUCUUUAACUUGUAAAUUUAUCAAGAAACAGGAAAAAUUAAGUGGCCCCUACCAAAGCAAAAGUUACUGAACUGAAAGGAGGAAAGGGGAAACUUGCUGAAAUGGCUGACAUCAAUACAAUUCACACUAUCAAACAAUUCACAAUUGGG
rnacentral:lncRNA from 1 species